rnacentral:lncRNA from 1 species
CCUAUUUUCAGUUACGCCAGAAAAGAUCAACUUUCAGCAUGCCAGAAGGUCUUCCCUAGCUUUUCCAAGCAGCAGUGUGAAUCUUAUAUAGAAUAUUCCAUAACCACUGAACAUUUGGUUCGAGAUGCCAAUUUCUCGAGGAUGAGGAGAAACACAGUUGCCUCCGCCAAGGUACCAGCCUCUAGAGUCUGUAAGCCAAUACCUACCACUUCAUUUUAAAACCCAUGCAGAGCCCACAGAUGUGAUUAUGUAAUUACGAUCAAAUGGCAACCCGUGUGAGUCCCGAAUCACUUGUCCUGGAAUGGAUAGAGCUAUUUAUAAUCACAGCGCGGCUGGGGAACAGAGUAACUGUGGUCAAAGGCAACCAGUUUCUAGCCCAGAGGCUGAGGCUGAAGGGAAGCAUCAGGAUGCGGCAGCUGCCAGUUGUGAGCAGAACAGUUCUCACCGGCCACUGGCCACCUGUGAGCGAUCGUGCAGGGCUGCAGCCUCGGAGCAAUGGACAAGGCUUCACAGGGAAUCGGCAGGGAGUGGCUCCCAGCAAUAAGCCACCGGCUACCCUUGGCACAGAGAGGUUUCUUGCAUUUUCUUUGAACUAAGAAGCCAUUUUCCUCAAGCAUUUAUUCACACCAUAACCUAAGGAAGAAUGCAAGGCAUCAUGGUUUCGCGGGUCUAGGCCAUUCCUUUAUUUUGGGGGUCUUUGAUGUCGGAGAGUAAGUUCUCACCAGCGCUGACCUCAUUGUUUGGCCACAGGCUCCUGCUAGACCUACGUUAUACUGACAUCUACUGGUCAUCUCAAGGUCAUGGUCAGUAGCAGUUAUUCAAAAUGGUGACAGACUGAUUUCCCAGAGUAUGCUGGACUUAAAUUUUCCUCAGUUUUCAAGGCCUUAACCAAGAUAUGCACCAAUUUUUCCGGACAGCCACGUCUAUAAUAGAAUACAUCUCUGUUGGGUGUUUUCUCCAUCUCUAUUAUCUACUGCUGCUACUUGCAAAUGGUUAGACCAGAUACCAUCGUUCAACACUACCCCGGGAGCAUUUGUGAUGGAAAAUGGAAAAACAAAUGGGAAACUUACACAAACUGUUGCCCAUUUCUUUUGUUUUCACAAAUUAUCCUCGGAGCCUGAGCUUAGGUCUUCCACAGAACAAACAGAAGGGGGAUGGGAGGACAGGGAACACGGAGAAAUGGCUUUGAGAGGAGUUUGUGUCCAGUGCCAGCUCUUCACUCUCCAAUGGAGAGUGUCACAGUGGCUCCAGCCCCUCAUAAGAGCCAGCCCCAUCACAGGAAUUUCAGUGGCAGAAAACUAAAAUGGUUAUCCAUCAUUCUGGAAAAUGGAAAGGGAACCUUCCAGAACCUGAGUUCCUACAGAGAGAAACUCCUCCUAGAGAAUGGGCUUCUACUCCCCUUCCGUCCAUGCCUGCCACUGACCAUGGUGUACCCUAGCCCUUGCCCCUUAGAUGACGCUGUGGCCCCGGAAAGCAAUUAGGCUCCCAGGUCCCAUGGAGCCGGGUUCAGAUCACCUCUCCAACAUUUGGGUGAAUAUGAGUUAGUAAUGAAACUUCUAGGCUCACUUUCCGCAACUGUAAAAUACAUAAAUUACGCUAACAACACGGAAUGGAAAUGUGAUCGUGAGUACUGAGAUGGAAUCACUUUACCCCUCAGCCUCACAGCAGAUGUCUGGCCUCUGUUCUCUCUCUUUUUUGGCUUAGUUUCCAAAUCUUAUUCAAGAACUCAUACAAAAUAUUCUGGAUAAAUGAUAUCUAAUCCUCAUCUUCCUCCUCUUCUUUUUUCUGGUUAAUUUGGAAGUAACAUAAUUAGUAAUUCUCUGGGCUGUUAGUAACAAGAUGCAAUCCACACGGAGAUGGUUACUCAAAUAUUUUUUGGUGAGAUAUUGAAAACACCAUUUGGAAAAAAAAAAAAAAAAAGCACCUCCUCCUUCCUAACUCGUUGGCCUGCUCCCUGUGAGAGCCUGGAUCUUAAAAGCAGUCUCCAUCUUCUCUCCACACCUGCUAUCAAGAUGUUCCCCACUACGGCACUGAAGCCACUCUCAUCAAGCCCGUCUGUGACCCGUUGAUGAUUUUUACGUCCUCAUCUGGUUUGCGUUCUGAGGAUUUCAUCACACCCUUUUCCCUGGUUCUCCUUCUGCUCCAUUCAGACUCCUUUACUGCGUCUUCCUCCUCACCCCUCUCAGAAGGGGCAGCUCAGAGGCCACCUUAGAUGCUCAUUUUUCUAUUUUUUUUUUUUUUUGAGAUAGAGUUUCGCUCUUGUUACCCAGGCUGGAGGAGUGCAAUGGCGCGAUCUCAGCUCACUGCAACCUCCGCCUCCCGGGUUCAGGCAAUUCUCCUGCCUCAGCCUCCUGAGUAGCUGGGAUUACAGGCACGCACCACCAUGCCCAGCUAAUUUUUUGUAUUUUUAGUAGAGAUGGGGUUUCACCAUGUUGACCGGGGUAGCCUCGAUCUCUUGACCUCAUGAUCCACCCACCUCGGCCUCCGAAAGUGCUGGGAUUACAGGCGUGAGCCACUGCGCCUGGCCAGAUGCUCCUCUUUGACUUUCCUCUAGUUGAGGUCCCACAGCUGUAUCAUCUCUAUGCUAAGGACGCCUAUACCAAUAGCUCAGCUCUACCUCUCCUGAACUCCGGGCUCAGAUAUCCAGCUAUUUCCAGGACAUCUCUUUUGGAUGCUGUGCGGGACAUUUUUUCAUACCACCUCACAUCCUCUCAGUCCACCCUUUUGCUCCAGCUGUUGCUGUGGUAACCAGCUGCAGACAGGAGGGGCUGAUUCCACCUCCAGCCUGGGGCCGCACACACCUCUUGCUUCUUUCUCAGGGUGACUUGGCUGCUGUAACUGUGGCACCUGCAGGAGCCCACUCAGUCAAGGGGCAGCCAUCAUACACCUGGAAGAGCAAAAGAGUUGACACGCCCGAGCCGUCCUUGGUGGGGGGUGGAAGUUGUGGUGAUCCUGUCCCCUCCCACUUCCCAGCAGCUCCAGAACAUACUCUGGGCUAAGCUUCCCUCCUCAGUCUCACUUCUCCCUGGUCCCUGAGAUUGCUUUCCCGCACAAAUGAUGUGCAGCUCUGCUCUUUUCGGAGGAUCUGCUUGUGGGGGGAAUUCAAACUAAGGCCCCUCAAAUGUAACAAAAAAUGUUACUCUCCCAGCUCGUUUCUCCCCUGCC